rnacentral:rRNA from 1 species
CAGUAGCCGCGGGAAUACGUAGGUAGCAAGCGUUGUCCGGAAUUAUUGGGCGUAAAGGGCUCGCAGGCGGUUUCUUAAGUCUGAUGUGAAAGCCCCCGGCUCAACCGGGGAGGGUCAUUGGAAACUGGGAAACUUGAGUGCGGAAGAGGAGAGUGGAAUUCCACGUGUAGCGGUGAAAUGCGUAGAGAUGUGGAGGAACACCAGUGGCGAAGGCGACUCUCUGGUCUGUAACUGACGCUGAGGAGCGAAAGCGUGGGGAGCGAACAGGAUUAGAUACCCCGGUAGUCCCUGUCUCUUAUAC